rnacentral:rRNA from 1 species
UAAGACAGAGGGUGCGAACGUUGUUCGGUGUCACUGGGCUUAGAGGGUGCGUAGGCGGCCAGGUUAGUGGGAGGUGAAAGCUCCGGGCUCAACCCGGAAAUUGCCUUCCAAACGGCUUGGCUUGAGGGCCGGAGGGGUGAGCGGAACGUCACGUGUAGCGGUGAAAUGCGUUGAUAUGUGACGGAACGCCGGCGGCGAAGGCGGCUCACUGGUCGGCAUCUGACGCUGAGGCACGAAAGCGUGGGGAGCAAACGGGAUUAGAUACCCCGGUAGUCCACGCCGUAAACGAUGGGCACUAGGUAGUCGGAGUUUGAUGCUCUGGCUGCCGUAGCGUAAGCGUUAAGUGCCCCGCCUGGGGAGUACGGUCGCAAGGCUG